AAGGCUAAAAGAUAAUAAUGAAAAACCUCAAGACUCUUUCCAGAGCCCUGACACAGCUUGGCCCUGAUUGGCCAAAGAGUGAAAACAAUUCACAUGAAACCAAUGAAACAAUCCCCUGUUGGUAAAAAAUGUCCAAACCACAUUCCAAAGCAGCAAAACACAGGAGAAGCAAACGAGAUAAAAUUGUUUUCCUUUUUCUCUGAGGCUUCUCAGCUUCCCAGGAGAGAAAUCCUGGGCAAAGGGAUUUUUCCAGAAAAUGUGAAUGUGACACAAGGCUGCAGUUUUCCUCUGAAGGUCAAACUCUGAGUUUCCCACCCUGUGCUCUCACACACUUCUGUCCAAACUGCACAGCCACAAUCCCAGCUCUGCCAUUCCAUUCUGGAAGCUUCUCCAGGGCCUCAGGUCAGUGCAGAGUUCUCCUGGGGCUCAGAGCCUGCAGCACAGAGAGGCUGGAAUUCUCAGAAUCCUGGGUUCCAACAGCUCUUGGUUUGAGCUCUUCCUCCUGCCCAGCAUCCCUGGAAUUCAAUCCCGUGUGUGGGACAAAUCCUGAGCAUCCCCUGCUGUCUCAGGGGGACAGCUGAGGAGCUGGAAAAGGAAAAGCAUGGAAUAAAAAACCCACAGAGCUCCAGGGCAUCCCGGGACUCAGGGGAAUGUGGAGGGAAAUUUGCUGGUGCUGAACAAAGUCACAGUGUUUUAUGUCCAUGAAAUCAUUUUUGGCAGCAGAGCCUCUCUGGGUGACUGAAAUCCUUCCUGUGGCUUCCAGCUCUGCUCUAGAGCAGGACUUCAAACUCCUCCCUCAGCUUUCCAUCAGAUCCUUUGGAUCCAGAAGGAUAAUUAAGGUUAUACAAUCAGUUAACAAUUAAAACCCAAAUUACUCCAGGCAGCUUUAAUAUUCCUGUAACCCAGACUUUGCCUUCUCCAUACCUGGGUGACAACACUUGCUCUGUUCUGGCUUUUUUUUGGUUAUUAAAUAACAAAAUUAAACCAACCCAGUGGGAAAUGCUAUCAAAGUUCAGUAGCCAAAUAUUUAUUUAGUUACUAGGAGAGUUCUUGGGGCUGAGGAUUUAUGUUCUAACAGUCAGAGCUGUUAAAAUAAAACAUCAUUUAUAAUCUGA